rnacentral:rRNA from 1 species
CAAUAGCGUAUAUUAAAGUUGUUGCGGUUAAAAAGCUCGUAGUUGGAUUUCUGCUGAGAACGACCGGUCCGCCCUCUGGGUGUGUAUCUGGCUCUUUCUUGGCAUCUUCUUGGUGAACGUAGCUGCACUUGACUGUGUGGUGCGGUAUCCAGGACUUUUACUUUGAGGAAAUUAGAGUGUUUCAAGCAGGCUUACGCCUUGAAUACAUUAGCAUGGAAUAAUAAGAUAGGACCUCGGUUCUAUUUUGUUGGUUUCUAGAGCUGAGGUAAUGAUUAAUAGGGAUAGUUGGGGGCAUUCGUAUUUAACUGUCAGAGGUGAAAUUCUUGGAUUUGUUAAAGACGGACUACUGCGAANGNAUUUGCNAAGGAUGUUUNCAUUG